UACAGAGGGUGCAAGCGUUAAUCGGAAUUACUGGGCGUAAAGCGAGCGUAGGUGGCUUGAUAAGUCAGAUGUGAAAUCCCCGGGCUUAACCUGGGAACUGCAUCUGAUACUGUCAGGCUAGAGUAGGUGAGAGGAAGGUAGAAUUCCAGGUGUAGCGGUGAAAUGCGUAGAGAUCUGGAGGAAUACCGAUGGCGAAGGCAGCCUUCUGGCAUCAUACUGACACUGAGGCUCGAAAGCGUGGGUAGCAAACAGGAUUAGAUACCCUCGUAGUCC
rnacentral:rRNA from 1 species